rnacentral:rRNA from 1 species
GAUGAACGCUGGCGGCGUGCCUAAUACAUGCAAGUCGAGCGAACAGACGAGGAGCUUGCUCCUCUGACGUUAGCGGCGGACGGGUGAGUAACACGUGGAUAACCUACCUAUAAGACUGGGAUAACUUCGGGAAACCGGAGCUAAUACCGGAUAAUAUAUUGAACCGCAUGGUUCAAUAGUGAAAGACGGUUUUGCUGUCACUUAUAGAUGGAUCCGCGCCGCAUUAGCUAGUUGGUGAGGUAACGGCUUACCAAGGCAACGAUGCGUAGCCGACCUGAGAGGGUGAUCGGCCACACUGGAACUGAGACACGGUCCAGACUCCUACGGGAGGCAGCAGUAGGGAAUCUUCCGCAAUGGGCGAAAGCCUGACGGAGCAACGCCGCGUGAGUGAUGAAGGUCUUCGGAUCGUAAAACUCUGUUAUUAGGGAAGAACAAAUGUGUAAGUAACUAUGCACGUCUUGACGGUACCUAAGCAGAAAGCCACGGCUAACUACGU